GUAGACAUAGUUAAAUUAGAACGUUAGAUUGUGAUUCUAGAAGCAGGGGUUGAACCCCCCUUGUCUACC
rnacentral:tRNA from 1 species